ncrna:unclassified sequences RAGATH-7 RNA
AGCUAUCAUAUUUAUUAUGCACAAAUAGAUAUGAUAGGUAAAACCACGUGGUAGGGCACAGUUAGGUUCGCUGUGAGUGCAUCCUUUAGUAGCAACUAACCAAAGCAAGUAUAAAUGGGAAAAGCUAUUACCUCGAUAGGCUUAAUGAGGUUCUUGACAGUCUGAUACUAACUGAACAAUAAGUAUCU